rnacentral:tRNA from 1 species
GCCUCCGUAGCUCAGUUUGGAUAGAGCACUUGCCUCCUAAGCAAGGGGUCGCGGGUUCGAAUCCCGCCGGGGGUG